GCUGCUGACAAUUCUAAUAAUGGGAGCUGUGAAAGUGGUCUGGGUUGUUGUACUGAUUAUUGGGAAUGUGAAAGUGUCUUGUUUCCCUUUUGUAAAUUUGGACAAUGGAGGAUCUAAAGGAUCAUCUGCCACUGCUACAUCUGUAGUUACGUCAGCGUCUCCUGCCCCCACCCAUCAUGG